rnacentral:rRNA from 1 species
GAUGAACGCUGGCGGCGUGCUUAACACAUGCAAGUCGAACGGACAGGCCCUGCGCUUGUGGCUCGCUCGAGAGCCGCGCAGGUGUGUAAAACGCGUGUAUCACCCACUUGUAUGUCGGAUAACAUCACGAAAAUGCGGAGAUAAUCGGGUAGAAGCUAUUGAUGCAUGGUGGGGGUUGGUAAGUUUCGGCGGUGGGGGAUGGACUCGCGGCUUACCCGCUUCUUGGUGGGGUAGUGGAUUUCCAGGUCUGUGACGGGUAGCCCGCCUGAGAGGGUGACCGGCCACAUUGGUACUGAGAGACGGCCCAGACUCCAACGGGAGGCAGCAGGGGGGAAUAUGGCACAAUGGGGGGAAGCCAGAGGCAGCAGCGCCGCGUGCGUGAUAACGGCUUUCUGGUUAUAAACCGCUGUCGCCGGUGACGAAGCGGUAGUGACGGUAAUGAGUAAAGAAGCACCGGCUAACUACGUG